UAACCUGCCCAAGAGAUCGGGAUAACACCUGGAAACAGAUGCUAAUACCGGAUAACAACAGAUGAUGCCUAUCAACUGUUUAAAAGAUGGUUCUGCUAUCACUNUUGGAUGGACCUGCGGUGCAUUAGCUAGUUGGUAGGGUAACGGCCUACCAAGGCGAUGAUGCAUAGCCGAGUUGAGAGACUGAUCGGCCACAUUGGGACUGAGACACGGCCCAAACUCCUACGGGAGGCAGCAGCC
rnacentral:rRNA from 1 species